CCUCGCGCCGCGCGUCGCCUAUUUGCGAAGCAACGCGACGCGUCGCGCGCGCUCGACACGGGCAUCGAUCUUUGCAGCUCGCUUUCUUUAUUUAAUAAAAUACCGGCGCGACUAACCGGCGCCGUUUUGUAGCAACUGGGUGAUGUUUGUAGAGCACCUUGCUCUUGACGUGAUUUUCUUCAACUGUUUGGAAGAUGAACCGUUCUCAUGGUUUCUAUGGGAGGUUUACUCUUCGGAAAUGUCUGCAGAAUCUAAUACUGCAUAGGAAAUUUGCGCUGGCCGACGUACUUUUCGUAGAAAUGUAACAGAAGUGAGUACAAAUUUUCACGUGACACUUGUUUCUUCCAAGAAUUCGACCGUUCGAAAACCUAGAGCGACACAGCAAUUUGGCUAUUACAAAACAUUAGGAAUAAACAAAUGAACAAAAACCACUCUCAUUCGUCCAGGAAUCCCAUAAAUUCCUAACACUUUCAAAUAUUGAGACGUCAAUCUACCAUCAGAGAAAUCGUGAAACAAACUUGCAACAGAACAUCAACGACCGACGAACAAGAAACAACAGUCCCUCGACGAACAGCUCCGGCGUUCCUCGAUGUUCGAUGUUCACGAUGUUUUCAGAGAUUCUUCCGAGUGUGCGUAUUUAAGAGGACCCGGUGAAAUUUUCCCGCGAAAUGGCUCGAACGCGGAAACACGGAAACCUCGUCGGGGGAGUCGACAAAG